rnacentral:rRNA from 1 species
AAAGUACAAGCCUAUCAACCGCUAUCGAUUGAGCGCCAAUCGAAGUCUCCAUAGGCCCCGUAGCCGUGGCGACAUGAGGCGUCCUUGCAACACCGGAAUUCCUGGUACUGCUUGGCACACCACUUCGCUGCCCUCGCAGGCCAAGGGCCGAGCGCACUUUCGGGGUUUCAGGAGUUUGCUCGUCAUGUGGGGCAGGCGGGGCUACGAGGCAGCGACACGGUCGCAAAAGGCGAUCUUUAAUCUUCGCGCUUUUUCAGCUUUACUUAAAUGCGCGCGACGGAGACUUGUUGUUAUUCCCGAGUCGAGAUCCGCACGAACCGCCGAAAGAAUAGCAGUCAGUGGGAACAGGUUUGGUAUCAAAAGCUUCAGCCUACACGCUGCGACCCUGUAGUAGCAAGUGUGAGAGUCAUGGUAAAACAGUAGUAGUAGCAGCAGCAGCAGUAGUAAUCAUCGUAAUAGUGCUACCAAGAUCUCCAAGGAUCCAUCGGCUGCCGAUGUAGCCAAACCAUUACCUGAAACCCUUGAAGACGAUGAACCCCUUUUCCAAACUACACGCUCUUGACAAUCCCAAUCGCCGGAACGGCCGGAGACUCUUGAAAUGCUUUCAAGCAGAGUUUUGAAACCCCAAGCACUAUGCAUGAGACUGAAACUCAACUGCCUCGAAGACUUUCAACCAGAGCACCCACCAUCUUACUGAAUUUGAAAGUCCUUCAACCAUAAACCUGCAGAAGAUUUCCCGAAAGCCCAGCUCCCUUGCUUUCCGGUCACCGAGCCAGGAAUGCAAAAGACUUGUGCCUGGCUGCGGAAAGAAGGCAUCGACUUGGCCGAUACCAACAACCAAGGCAAGCUAAGACAGAGUGGAUUUGGGUGGUCUGUACUUACUUAUCGGAUCAUGGGACAUAAAAAUGCGAGGGAGUGGUAGGCAUACUUAGAAAGGUCAGCGUCGAAAGGAUUUUUUCAGGUACCAACAACAUUCCCUUAAGCUUAGGCUUCUUCAAAUAGAAUUUGUAGUACGAAGCAACCCAAACUCCCACUCCAGCAAACAAGGCCUUCCAUCUUCGGGGUUCAGCAUUUAUGCACACUAGAUUUCGCAACUGCCCCAGGUUGGACAAGGUGGAAGUUUUGGGCUGAGGCUGUGGGUUGCAGCAAAGUCAAGUGUGUCUGAUUGCGUUUGGUUUUAGUUUGACAACUACUAUUACUGUUGUUAUUUGGAGUUAGAGUCACAUUGUGGUCAUAGGAGACGGUGUUAGAUUUGGCCUGCUCCUGCGACCUGACGAGCCCGAGGCCUACUUGGUCGCUGAUUCGAGCGAAAGUGUAAAAGAGGUGCCUGAGUAAUUACCAAUACUAUUUUGGCGGGCUCCUUAUUAAAAAUAUAGUAUAAUGGGCCCCAAAACCAUAUUCUAAUUCGCUACGAAAGCAUCCCUUUCUCGCCUAGCACAAAAGAAGCUCACUGCUCGCACUGCGACCCUUAUUCAAACGAUAAGAGACCCCGAAAUGACUCGCCAGGGAAUACGGGAUGCACAGCUGGCGUUGAUUUAGGGUACCAUGGAUUCAUCUCUGCAGCACACGCUCUAGGGGUGAACUACUAGUAGUAUCACCUUGUAGUCCUUGUUGUAUUUACAGCAUCUAGUGUGCCUCCGAGCCCGAUUCUAACUAUGCAGGCCCCUAUAAAGCACCUGGUUCAGCUUACCUUCUGCGUCAGGUCAUAACGCCUUGCACAAAGCUGCCUAUGGUGGCCACACCGAUCUCUGCCUUUGGCUCCAGGAGCUAGAGCUUUCCGGAAGUUUGGGCAGAGUUUGAGUGUGUUUGCUCCUGCGUUCAAGCCUCCAACAUCCACCGAGCGCAGAUAGACUCAGAAAUAUUGCAACAGAGGGCUGAGCCUUAAACUCGCGGCGGGCGGGAGAUUCUAAACCCCUCGAUUCGAGUAGCCAACCUGGGCUUCCCGAAAGACCCGAAGAGCCCUGAGGACGAGGUACGGCUGGAUCCAGAAGCCCUCAUCAAGGAUGCAAGGCUCUUCGGAUUCCCUGUGCAGCGAACAACCAUCUCAGAACUGGAGCGGACAAGACUGUUUAAUAACAAAGCAUUGCGAUGGCCUCAGAAGGUGUUGGCGCAAUGUGAUUUCUGCCCAGUGCUCUGAAUGUCAAAGUGAUGGAAUUCAAACAAGCACGGGUAAACGGCGGGAGUAACUAUGACUCUCUUAAGGUAGCCAAAUGCCUCGUCAUCUAACUAGUGAUGCGCAUGAAUGGAUUCACGAGAUUCCCACUGUCCCUACCUACUAUCUAGCGAAACCACAGCCAAGGGAACGUGCUUGGGAUAAUCAGCGGGGAAAGAAGACCCUGUUGAGCUUGACUCUAGUCCACCAUCACUUAGGAGGUGUAGCAUAAGUGGGAGCUUCGGUGAUCUUGAAAUACCACUACUCUCAAUGUCAUUUUACGUAUUCCGUGAGACUGAAACUUGCAUCAUGUGAGUUUUUGAUUUAACGUUGUGGGGCGGCACAUCUGUUAAAUGAUAACGCAGGUAAGCUCAAUGAGAACAGAAAUCUCAUGUGGACCAAAAGGGGAAAAGCUUGCUUGAUUUUGAUUUUCAGUACGAAUACAAACUGUGAAAACAUGGCCUAUCGAUCCUUUAGGUCUGNAUAACUGGCUUGUGGCAGCCAAGCGUUCAUAGCGACGUUGCUUUUUGAUCCUUCGAUGUCGGCUCUUCCUAUCAUUGAGACGCAGAAGUCCCAAAGUGUCGGAUUGUUCACCCGCCAAUCGGGAACGUGAGCUGGGUUUAGACCGUCGUGAGACAGGCUAGUUUUAUUACCCUACUGAUGAACUACAUGCUGCGACAGUAAUCGAAGUCAGUACGAGAGGAACACUUCGUUCAGAUACUUGGUUAAAGUGGCUAGCUGAAAAGCUAAUACCACGAAGCUAUCAUCUGUUGGAUUACGACUGAAUGCCUCUAAGUCGGAAUCCAUGCUGGCUAAGCAGUGUUGCCCACCGCUCUCAUUGCAACAUGCCAACAAACAAGCUUUGGCUCUAACGCAUAUCUGCCUCUAUCGCCGCUAAAGGCGAUGGGGUAAAUCAUAGUUUCAUGCAGUGGGAGCGAUAGAUCUUUUGUAGACGACUUAAUCGAAUCCAGGUAUUGUAAGUGCUGAGAGUAUCCUUUGUGAUACGAUCCACUGAGAUUCAUCCUGUGUUUUUGGGUCNAUCUUUUG